rnacentral:rRNA from 1 species
CACGUAGGGCGCAAGCGUUGUCCGGAAUUAUUGGGCGUAAAGAGCUCGUAGGCGGUCUGUUGCGUCCGCUGUGAAAACUCGGGGCUUAACCCCGAGCCUGCAGUGGAUACGGGCAGACUAGAGGUAGGUAGGGGAGAAUGGAAUUCCUGGUGUAGCGGUGAAAUGCGCAGAUAUCGAGAGGAACACCUGCGGCGAAGGCGGGUAGCUGGGCCGACACUGACGCUGAGGCGCGAAAGCCAGGGGAGCGAACGGG